UACGUAGGGUGCGAGCGUUGUCCGGAAUUAUUGGGCGUAAAGGGCUCGUAGGCGGUUUGUCGCGUCGGGAGUGAAAACCAUGGGCUUAACUCAUGGCUUGCUUCCGAUACGGGCAGACUAGAGGCAUGCAGGGGAGAACGGAAUUCCUGGUGUAGCGGUGAAAUGCGCAGAUAUCAGGAGGAACACCGGUGGCGAAGGCGGUUCUCUGGGCAUGUCCUGACGCUGAGGAGCGAAAGCGUGGGGAGCGAACAGG
rnacentral:rRNA from 1 species